UUUCACUUCUGGUGGUGGAAGAAGCCAACUCCCCUCCUACUCCUGUAAGUAGGAGUACUGUCUUCUGGCAUUAUCCCAGCGCGCAGGUGUGUCUCAGAUACGGGCUGGAAAUAUUCAUGAUCUGUGGAGAGAGACCUUGGAGACAAGAGAUGUGCUGGGUGCUCUGCUCCCACCUAACUCCAGCCGAAUGCAGAGGCAGGAGUAGCCAAACUCCAACUCCCAGAGCAGAAGCGCCGCCCUACUGAGCCCCACCAACGCAUGGACUCACAAGAGGGUCGGCGCACCUGCUGUUGUUCUACAAGUUACCUGAUUGUUCAUUAAAAGUUUAUUAAAGAAGAAGAAGCCGGUGACCCUACUCUUGCUGCUUGCAAGUCACUGCUCAUUGCUAACCACUACCUAAGGCCGAUUCUUGCUGAAGGGAUGGCGUGUGCACCCGUUAUCACAGGGCUCAGGGAGCCAGAUGUGCCGCUGCGGUUCUCUAGGAUGCCCCUCAAAGCCACCCACUGCAUGGAAAUAAACCCGUCAUCGCAGCUGAAUUUAUUCUAUGACCAGCCCACCCCCUUGGCCAAGAAAUUACUCUUGAUUUUAUGUCUGAUGUUAACUAAUGAAACAAGGUAAUAUAAUGGACAGCAAAUUAACUACAAUAAAAUGCCAGUAGAAUUUAAAGAAUGCCUCCAAAUGCAGCCCCCGUUCCUAGAAAAGUGUUGCACUCUCCCCUGCUCCUUCCCUCCCUCCCUCCCUGCCUUUCUUUCUUCCAACCUGAGCAAAAUAUUAUUGACCCCUUUCUGUACCGGUGUACUGUUCCAGGAGCUGCUAAUACAUGAGCGAAUGACAAAAUGGAGAGGCACUGGUCCCAUAGAGCUUCCAGGCCAGCAGACACAGGCAGGGGGAUUAAAGUGAACGAGCAUUUGCAGUUUUAAGCUGGAUGCCAGGAGGGUGGGGGGGUUCCUUGUGCAAAUGAACAGAACUGAAGGCCAGGUGGCCGAGGGCUUUUAGGGAAGAUGGUGCCUGGCACAGGGGCACCAGUGCAAAGGUUUGGUGCAGAAGGGUGUCUGGCACAGGCAGGGGGCCUGUGCAGCUGGAGCAGAGCCAGGGAGGGGCCAGGAGCUGCCAUCUGAGCAAAGGGCCCUGCAAGGACCCUGGCUUUGACUUUGAGUGAGAUGGGGAACCACUGGAGCAGUUUUUGUUAUUGUUCAGUUUUGGUUUGGGGUUUUCUUGUGGCGCUCUGACAACUGGACCCGGAACUUUGCACACAGUAGGCAAGUGCCAACCCGGAGCCACAUCCCCAGCCCCCAAGUGCUGGUUUCUCUUCAAGUCCUUUUGCUGUGAGUGCAUUUUAUUUAUUUAUUUACUUAUUCAUCUCUCUGCAGUACUGGGGAUGGAACCCAGGGCCUUGUGCAUGCUCAGCAAACACUCUGCCAUUGUGCUGCCUCCUCAGCCCUUUUGAAGUUCAUUUUGAGACAGACUCUCUUUAA